CCUACGGGAGACAGCAGUGGGGGAUAUUGCACAAUGGGGGCAACCCUGAUGCAGCGACGCCGCGUGUGGGAAGACGGUCCUCUGGCUUGUAAACCACUGUCCCCAGGGACGAAGAGGACGGUACCUGAGGAGGAAGCUCCGACUAACUACGUGCCAGCAGCCGCAGUAAUACGUAGGGAGCAGGCGUUGUCCGGAUGUACUGGGUGUAAGGGGAGCGUAGGCGGGAUGGCAAGUUGGGUGUUAAAUCUACCGGCUCAACUGGUAGUCGCACUCAAAACUGCUAUUCUUGAGUGAAGUAGAGGCAGGCGGAAUGCGUAGUGUAGCGGUGAAAUGCGUAGAUAUUAGGAGGAACAGCAGUGGCGAAGGCGACUAUCUGGCACAUAACUGACGCUGAGGAGCGAAAGCGUGGGUAGCAAACAGGAUUAGAUACCCUAGUAGUC
rnacentral:rRNA from 1 species